GCGGGUAUCGUAUAGUGGCUAUUAUAUAUCCUUGCCAAGGAUAAGAUACGGGUCCGACUCCCGUUACCCGCU
rnacentral:tRNA from 1 species